rnacentral:rRNA from 1 species
GACGAACGCUGGCGGCGUGCUUAACACAUGCAAGUCGAGCGGUAAGGCCCUUUCGGGGGUACACGAGCGGCGGACGGGUGAGUAACGCGUGGGAACCUGCCCAGUGGUGGGGGAUAACUGCGGGAAACUGCAGCUAAUACCGCAUGAGCCCGAAAGGGGAAAGAUUGAUCGCCAUUGGAGGGGCCCGCGUUCGAUUAGGUAGUUGGUGAGGUAACCGGCUCACCAAGCCUUCGAUCGAUAGCGGUCUGAGAGGAUGAUCAGCCACACUGGGACUGAGAUA